AGAGUUUGAUCCUGGCUCAGGACGAACGCUGGCGGCGUGCCUAAUACAUGCAAGUCGAGCGGAUCAUUAGAAGCUUGCUUCUAAUGAUUAGCGGCGGACGGGUGAGUAACACGUGGGCAACCUGCCUAUAAGACUGGGAUAACACCGGGAAACCGGUGCUAAUACCGGAUAAUCCUUUUCCUCACAUGAGGGAAAGCUGAAAGACGGUUUCGGCUGUCACUUAUAGAUGGGCCCGCGGCGCAUUAGCUAGUUGGUGAGGUAACGGCUCACCAAGGCAACGAUGCGUAGCCGACCUGAGAGGGUGAUCGGCCACACUGGGACUGAGACACGGCCCAGACUCCUACGGGAGGCAGCAGUAGGGAAUCUUCCGCAAUGGACGAAAGUCUGACGGAGCAACGCCGCGUGAGCGAUGAAGGCCUUCGGGUCGUAAAGCUCUGUUGUUAGGGAAGAACAAGUAUCGGAGUAACUGCCGGUACCUUGACGGUACCUAACCAGAAAGCCACGGCUAACUACGUGCCAGCAGCCGCGGUAAUACGUAGGUGGCAAGCGUUGUCCGGAAUUAUUGGGCGUAAAGCGCGCGCAGGCGGUCCUUUAGGUCUGAUGUGAAAGCCCACGGCUCAACCGUGGAGGGUCAUUGGAAACUGGGGGACUUGAGUGCAGAAGAGGAAAGUGGAAUUCCACGUGUAGCGGUGAAAUGCGUAGAGAUGUGGAGGAACACCAGUGGCGAAGCGACUUUCUGGUCUGUAACUGACGCUGAGGCGCGAAAGCGUGGGGAGCAACAGAUUAGAUACCCUGGUAGUCC
rnacentral:rRNA from 1 species